CCAGACUCUCAUCUCUUGCCUCCAGUGAGCAGCCCUAACUCCUGUGGGUGACACUGUGUAUGACACGGGGAAGGAGCAGGAAGAGAUGCCUGUACGUGACUCUCGUGGACAUCUCUCAAGAUGAGAACAGUUGAGCAAGGUCAGCAGCAGAGUCAGAACUCUUCCCCCAUCACCACAGUGGUCCUCAAGCUGGAGCCAGACAUCCAGUGAGUAAAUGGGGAGUCCCCAAGGCUGGUCCAGGUCCUCAAGAGUUCUGGCCCAGCUUCGGCUCAUUAUUGCUUCUUCCUCCCAGCCCAGGUGACCCAGCUUGGAUCAUGUGCUUAGGGCCAUGUUGAGCCAACAACUGAGCCUGAGGAUUACCUUCCCAAGUCUCAGUCCCUUCCUCACCAGUCGGGACACUUGUCAUGCCUGCGAGAUGUCAGACCUGCCUUCCUUCCUCAUUUCCUCCACAACCCACAAGAACACAGCCAGGACCCCUAGGCUUCUCCACUUCAGGACCACUACACACUAUUCACACCAUCCUUCAGGACCACUACACACUAUUCACACCAUCCUUCAGGACCACUACACACUAUUCACACUGUACGUCAGGACCACUACACACUAUUCACACCAUCCUUCAGGACCACUACACACUAUUCACAUUGUACUUCAGGACCACUACACACUAUUCAUACCAUCCUUCAGGACCACUACACACUAUUCACAUUGUACUUCAGGACCACUACACACUAUUCACACCAUCCUUCAGGACCACUACACACUAUUCACAUUGUGCUUCAGGACCACUACACACUAUUCACACUGUACUUCAGAUCCACUAUACACUAUUCACACCAUCCUUCAGGACCACUAUACACUAUUCACACUGUACUUCAGGACCACUAUACACUAUUCACACUGUACUUCAGAUCCACUAUACACUAUUCACACCAUCCUUCAGGACCACUACACACUAUUCACACUAUCCUUCAGGACCACUAUACACUAUUCACACUGUACUUCAGGACCACUACACACUAUUCACACCAUCCUUCAGGACUACUACACACUAUUCACACCAUCCUUCAGGAUCACUAUAUGUGGCCUGUUGUACCAUGUGAUCUCGAUCUCACUGCAUGGCUAGGAGAACCUCCGCGCACUUCUCUCAUCUGUGCUUUCUCAGCUAGAGAGGUCUCAGAAGAUACUGUGAGCAAAACCUCCUCAGUAUGCCCUAGAAAGUCUAUAGUGGCACUACCUCCCAUCCUACAGCUGAGAAAACUGAGGUUUGGAUCAUGGUCUAGUCAUAGCUGAAACCCAAGGCUUGAUUCCUUAUCCUACAGAACACAUUUUUUUGAAUUUUAAAUAUUAUAGUGUGUGUGUGUGUAUGUGUGUGUGUGUGUGUGUGCUCACAUAUUCAUGUGGAGGUCAGAGGACAACUUUUGUCCUCUUCCACCAUAGAGCACAGCUUUGACCUGUAAGCUGCCACUCCUAUGUGGGGUUAUAUAACUGAAUAUGAGGGUUGCAACAUUUUUGGCAACAAUAAAAGGCUUCCGAAUGCAUAACAACCAAAUAGAUUAAAGAUCAAAUCUGCCUUGAAUCUAAGGUGUUUCUGGCAGUACUUGGCCAUGUGCACCACGUGACUGCACUGCUGCUCUGACUCUGAACAAACAAAAGACAAAGUUAAAUGAGAGGCUGGACAGAUGGCUCAGUGGUUAAGAGGACUGGCUGCUCUCUCAGAGGACUUGGAUUUAAGACCCACACCCACAGGACUGCUCACAAUUCUCCAAGUAGAGUCUUAGAGGAUCUGACAACCCCUUCUGGCCUCCAUAGGUACCAGGCACACAUGUAGUGCAUAUAUCUACACUCACCCAAAACACUCAUACACAUAAAAUAAGUAAGUAGAAAAAUGGAAAACAAAAUAAGCAAGCACUUCC
rnacentral:lncRNA from 1 species